rnacentral:rRNA from 1 species
GAGGAAUAAGCAUCGGCUAACUCCGUGCCAGCAGCCGCGGUAAUACGGGGGAUGCAAGCGUUAUCCGGAAUCAUUGGGCGUAAAGCGCCUGUAGGUUGUUUAAUAAGUCUGUUGUUAAAGACUAGGACUUAACCCUAGAAAAGCAAUGGAAACUACUAGACUAGAGUAUGGCAGGGGUAGAGGGAAUUUCUAGUGUAGCGGUGAAAUGCGUAGAUAUUAGAAAGAACACCGGUGGCGAAAGCGCUCUACUGGACCAUUACUGACACUCAGAGGCGAAAGCUAGGGUAGCAAAAGGGAUUAGAUACCCCUGUAGUCCUAGCCGUAAACGAUGGAUACUACAUGUUGUGCAUUAUGUACAGUAUGGUAGCUAACGCGUUAAGUAUCCCGCCUGGGGAGUACGCUCGCAAGGGUGAAACUCAAAGGAAUUGACGGGGGCCCGCACAAGCGGUGGAGCAUGUGGUUUAAUUCGAUGCAACGGGAAGAACCUUACCAGGACUUGACAUACUACAAAUUCUUUUGAGAAAAAGAAGUGCCUUCGGGAAUGUAGAUACAGGUGGUGCAUGGCUGUCGUCAGCUCGUGUCGUGAGAUGUUGGGUUAAGUCCCGCAACGAGCGCAACCCUUAUUUUUAGUUACCAAUUCGUUGGGUUCUCUAGAAAGACUGCCGGUGACAAACCGGAGGAAGGUGAGGAUGACGUCAAGUCAGCAUGCCCCUUAUGUCCUGGGCUACACACGUGCUACAAUGGUUAAGACAAAGAGUCGCGAGCUCGUGAGAGUCAGCUAAUCUCAUAAACUUAGCCCAAGUUCAGAUUGUAGGCUGCAACUCGCCUACGUGA